rnacentral:rRNA from 1 species
AUUGAACGCUGGCGGCAGGCCUAACACAUGCAAGUCGAACGAGUGGCGGACGGGUGAGUAAUGCCUGGGAACCUGCCUGCCGGUGGGGGAUAACUACUGGAAACGGUAGCUAAUACUGCAUACCAUCAGAUGUGUCCAGAUGGGUUUCGCUUGUUGGUGGGGUAACGGAUCACCAAGGCGACGAUCCCUAGCUGGUCUGAGAGGAUGAGCAGCCACACUGGAACUGAGACACGGUCCAGACUCAUACGGGAGGCAGCAGUGGGGAAUAUUGCACAAUGGACGCAAGCCUGAUGCAGCCAUGCCGCGUGUAUGAAGAAGGCCUUCGGGUUGUAAAGUACUUUCAGCGGGGAGGCGUUAUCCGCAGAAGAAGGACCGGCUAACUACGUGCCAGCAGCCGCGGUAAUUC